rnacentral:rRNA from 1 species
UGCCCGGUAGCUAAAUGCGGAAGAGAUAAGUGCUGAAAGCAUCUAAGCACGAAACUUGCCCCGAGAUGAGUUCUCCCUGAGACUUAGAGUCUCCUGAAGGAACGUUGAAGACGACGACGUUGAUAGGCCGGGUGUGUAAGCGCAGCGAUGCGUUGAGCUAACCGGUACUAAUGAACCGUGAGGCUUAACCUUACAACGCCGAAGCUGUU